UGGAUCUUUAUCUAUUAUGAUUAUCAUAUACCCAAAGAUAAAAAUGUUACAUGUAGAUAUAUUGGAAAUUUUCAGAUAUAAGAAGGCAAAUAAAACUGAUGUAAAAUACACCGGUAGUUGGAUAAAAUAUCCAAAGUCGACACAGCCAAAGGUCACAACGACAAUGGAGGAAUGAACUGCAUCCUCAUUCAUCAGGACAACAGGCCAUUGUAAGCAACGCCUGAAAUUCUUAAUUGGGGUUAAAUGCCCAUUUUCAGCUCGAGCAAUGACAAUUAAAGAGGCAAAUGUUGGGAUUUCCCUCUUGAAUGUGAUGCAAGCGAUGGUUCGCUGCACCUCAAAAGACAGUAUGAAUAUUGACACCACAUCCAAGGACAACAACACCUGAAAGACACCCUAUGCUGUGAUUUCCUAGUGUGGACUCCUAUUGACACUCAAAGAGUUCACAUCGACAAAAAUGUAUUAUGGUCAAAAACAUUUCAAGCGAGAGAGAGUUUAAUUAUAAUAUUAUAAUAAAAAAGUAUUUUGCUGUC